GCCUACUGUAUUUUAUUUGUUAUGUUUAAAUUUAAUAAGAUGUGAUUGAUUGAUUGAUUGAUUGAUUGAUGCACCAAAACAUAUCACAUUCAAUGACUAGUAUACUAUAGCGACUUUCAUCAGGAGUCGUUAAGCCAUGACAAUUAAAAGUCUGAUCUCUUAAGUCGUUAUAGGAAGACCUUAAAUGCAAAUGAUUUUUUUGUUAUCUGUCCG